GACGAACGCUGGCGGCGUGCUUAACACAUGCAAGUCGAACGAAGUGGCGAACGGGUGAGUAACGCGUAAUCAACCUGCCCUUCAGAGGGGGACAACAGUUGGAAACGACUGCUAAUACAGCAUACUGAAGGAGGGGAUUGCGUCUGGUUAGCUAGUUGGAGGGGGAACGGUCCACCAAGGCGAUGAUCAGUAGCCGGUUUGGGAGGAGGAACGGCCACAUUUGGACUGAGCAAAGGCCCAGACUCCUACGGGAGGCAGCAGUGGGGAAUCUUCCGCAAUGGACGAAAGUCUGACGGAGCAACGCCGCGUGGGUGAUGACGGCCUUCGGGUUGUAAAGCUCUGUUAAUCGGGACGAGGUACCGGAAUAGAAAGCCACGGCUAACUACGUGCCAGCCGCCGCGGUAAUUC
rnacentral:rRNA from 1 species